rnacentral:lncRNA from 1 species
UUUAUAAGUGAGACUCUCUUUGGUGGGGAUUCUUUGUCGAUCAACUUCCACUUCUCGCACGUUUGGAGCAACUCCCAACAAUGCUCUAAUUUGAAGAAUUUGCCUUCCGAAGCUUCCAUGUCCUUGUAUCUAUGUUGAGCAAUCUUGUCCUACAAAAUGUGAACAAAGUGAUGCAAUCAUUUCCCAUGAUACAUUAUGAUGAUGCACAACUUGAACAAAGGAAAAACAAACUCACAUAGUCGGACUCCAUGGUGUCACUUGGAGGUGCAUUGCGUACUUGCUCCAAGCAAGUUGUCCAACGGGUGCACAUAGGCUUGAUAUUCUCCCAACGCCCUUGAAGCGACCGAAAUGUGCGUGGAGUCCUAUUGGGAUACUUUUUCAUAAUGCGGAAGUAUUGAUCUUCGAUCCUUUGCCAAUAUCUCUUGGCGGUUUGAGAAACAUCUGUGCAUGCAUCAAUAGACAC